rnacentral:misc_RNA from 1 species
GCGAAAUCCUUAAAUCUGCUCAGGUACUGUCUCUAAGUGUUUGAUUAUAACAUAUUCUGCAUGGAAAUCAGAGGGAAAGGGAGGGAGAGAAACACCUGUAUGUACUAUGCUUAUUUAUUAGUUUGCUUUUAAUUUCUGGUAAAGAAUAAAGUCAUGUUCAAUGGAUAAAUCACCAAUCAAAGCUAGGUGCCAUGUGAUUGGCGAGAAAAGAGAAGGAAAAGAAAAAUGGAAAAUUUUCUCUUUUUUUUUUUGUUGUGAGAAAUUGUGAAUUAGAUAGCUAAACCUUUUGCAACAACUAGUUUGUCUUAAAUAUAAUCCUACAUUGUUUGCUGGAUAAUGCAUAAAGGAAA